GAGAUUUCCCAUUCCGCAAGGAAGUAAGAUCCCUGAAAGAUGAUCAGGUUGAUAGGUCUGAGGUGGAAGUGUGGCGACACAUGGAGCUGACAGAUACUAAUCGAUCGAGGACUUAACCUAA
rnacentral:rRNA from 1 species